CCUACGGGAGGCAGCAGUGGGGAAUAUUGCGCAAUGGGCGAAAGCCUGACGCAGCGACGCCGCGUGAGGGAUGAAGGUUCUCGGAUCGUAAACCUCUGUCUGCAGGGGAGAAAUACUCUCCUGCUAAUCAGUGCUGUAUUGACGGUACCUUCAAAGGCAGCACCGGCUAACUCCGUGCCAGCAGCCGCGGUAGUACGGCGGGUGCGAGCGUUAAUCGGAAUUGCUGGGCGUAAAGGGCACGUAGCCUGUAUGACAAGUCAAGGGUGAAAUGCCACGGCUCAACCCGGGACCUGCCGUUGAAACUGGCAAACUUGAGUAUGUGAGAGGGCGGCGGAAUUCCUGGUGUAGGAGUGAAAUCCGUAGAUAUCAGGAGGAACACCAGUGGCGAAGGCGGCCGGCUGGCACAAAACUGACGCUGAGGUGCGAAAGCGUGGGUAGCAAACAGGAUUAGAUACCCUGGUAGUC
rnacentral:rRNA from 1 species